rnacentral:rRNA from 1 species
UACGAAGGGGGCUAGCGUUGCUCGGAAUCACUGGGCGUAAAGCGCACGUAGGCGGAUUGUUAAGUCAGGGGUGAAAUCCUGGAGCUCAACUCCAGAACUGCCUUUGAUACUGGCGAUCUUGAGUCCGGGAGAGGUGAGUGGAACUGCGAGUGUAGAGGUGAAAUUCGUAGAUAUUCGCAAGAACACCAGUGGCGAAGGCGGCUCACUGGCCCGGUAUGACGCUGAGGUGCGAAAGCGUGGGAGCA